AAUGGGCGCAAGCCUGAUGCAGCCAUGCCGCGUGUGUGAUGAAGGCCUUAGGGUUGUAAAACACUUUCAUCGGUGAAGAUAAUGACGGUAGCCGAAGAAGAAGCCCCGGCUAACUCCGUGCCAGCAGCCGCGGUAAUACGGAGGGGGCAAGCGUUGUUCGGAAUUACUGGGCGUAAAGCGCACGUAGGCGGACUGAUCAGUUGGGGGUGAAAUCCCGAGGCUUAACCUCGGAACUGCCUUCAAUACUGUCAGUCUUGAGUUCGGAAGAGGUGAGUGGAAUUCCUAGUGUAGAGGUGAAAUUCGUAGAUAUUAGGAAGAACACCAGUGGCGAAGGCGGCUCACUGGUCCGAUACUGACGCUGAGGUGCGAAAGCGUGGGGAGCGAACAGGAUU
rnacentral:rRNA from 1 species